AAUUGCCGCAUUCGCUAUUCGGCUUUGAAGCCGCUCGGGUUGCCCCAAAAGAACAGUUAGCCAGCAAUUCUCCGGAGAAUCGAAUGGAAGCGAUUCUUCUGGGAAACGAACUCGUGACCGCCCACGUGUCCUACGUUCUUCUCCUAACUUGUAAUAACUUUAUCACCAUUUAUGUGUUUUUUCUGUGCGCCAACGUUCUGAGUUGCAGAGAAUAUUAGAUGUUCGCCAAAAUUAACUUAUACAUUUUCCGGCAGUGUACUUGAGUGCUUGUGUUUGUGCCACCGAGUGUCUGUGUGUUGGCCAAUGAAUUUUUGGGCCUGCAAUUUCUUGAGGGAAAAUCACAACGAUUUCUGGGGACCCCCGAAAAAGGCAGGCAGACGGCAGUCUUCAGUCGUAACCGUGCUCUUUACUAGAGUCCCCAAACCCCAAACCCCGGACCAAACCAAAGAACCGAAGAACCGAAGUACCAUAGAACCGAAGACCCCAAAGAAUUGGAAGAGGAACACUGUGCAACCAGAACCACAAAGGCAACAUGUUGCACAUGCACUCGCCAAAAGCAAUUUGCAUACAAAUGUUGCCAACGCACUUCAAAAACUGCGCAAUCACAGGGGGUUUUUUUCGGGGAAGAGAGGGUAGGGCAGGGGAGGGGGUGGUGCAGCGAAAAAAGGGUAAAAGCCGCUUCAUAAUUUGAUAUUAAACAUGCACGCGUGUCUCCUUCUCUUUUCCACCCAUAUGUGCAACUUGUAAAUUUGCAAAUUGCUAAAACGCAUGACAGGAACAAAGGGCGAAUAUCUUAAUGGCGGGGAAAGUGGGGAGAGUAUCGGGCAGCUGUGUGAAUUUGCAUUUACAUCAAGGAACCGCUGGACAGCAAAAGGACUGCAAAAAGUUACCCAAAAUUCAGCCACACAAGGAAGCUGAAUAACAAAAAGUGCAGUUUGCUCAAUUGGCUUUCAAUUGUUAAGCAUACAAAAUGCAUUGGGAAAAAAAAGAAAAGAAAUUUUCACUUUGGUCCCACGCGGCGGAUCAUUCCAAAAGGAAGAUUCCUAAUUUUCGUUUUGUCUUAUAAACGAACAGUUUAUUUUUUUAAAAUUGACUACUAUAUUUUAGUGAAUUUCUUGCAGUGCCUCUGUGAAUAAAAAAGGCAAGCCCAAAUGAAUUUAUUUUCAAUUUUAUUUUCAAUCUGCUUUGUGUCCGUCAUAUGAUUGACAUGGUCGAUUGAACUGGCAAACGAGCGAGGGAGUGGAACGAUACACAUAUCGUUUAUUUUUGGCAGCAAGUGUUUGCGUUCGAUUUGCAGUUUUGUUAAUACUGCACUCGAAAAAUACCCGAGACACCUCCUCAAUCUCAAACUCAACCUCAACCAAAAUCCGAGGGCUCUUGAAGCCAAAAUCUCCGGAGUCUUAAUAAGCUGGUGCGAAAAACAAGUACACACACUUUAUAUAUCAGAUCUCCAUACACGCAAUUAUAUGUAUGUACCUACUCUUAUUUUGGGCUACUACGCCUGUGUGUGGAUAUAUAAAUCAUAUUUAUGAGACAUUUCCCCAGCAGGGAAAAAGAGAAAAAGGAAUAAAAAAAAACAUAUGAAUGUUAAAUAGGCACGCAAUGUGCGAAAGGGAUGGCCACAAAAUGCGUCACUCCCCCCAUUUCACUGACUUUUCCUUAACGAAGGAAAACAAUAAUCAAUAAGUAAUACAACGGGCAGCAACUGUGUGUGGGGGGAAAACUCACCCCCGUCUUAGCCAUAUUUCCUCCCUCUCGUUCAUAUGUGUUACAAUUUUUGCUGCCCUCAUUGCCUGGGUAGUUCAUAACUUUUCUCUCAUGUGUGUGCCUGUGUGUGGGUGAGUGUGUGUCUGUGGUGGUUUUCCUUGGUUCUUGGCCAGGACUUCAGGCGUUUGACAGCCAUGUUUGUCCUUCGCACAUGCACACACAUCCACACAUGAUUGUUGUAGGCGUCUCCUUGUGGCGGCACCCCCAAAAAAAUUCAACCAAAAAAAAAACAGCAGGAAAAAGGGAAAAAGUGCUGCGGAAAAGUGUGCCACAAACUUUUCGGCCGAAAAAAGUUUGUCUGCUGACACAGAUCUGUGUGUAAAUGAGCGAGAUAAGAAACAUUCGCAAAUUUUCCAGACUCUACCUCUUUUUUGCACUCUAAGCGUACACAGAAAAAAAUGUUAAUUGAAUAUUUUUAAUAGUUCAUUGAACUGGAAAGUUUAGUAUGACUUUUCGUGUGCUAUAAUUAUUAAUAUUAAUAUUAUCAGCUUAAUAAAUCAAAAUUUAUGGGAGGACGUGAAUUUUAAAAAACUGAUAAAAUAGUUCCAGAAUUUUUCUGCGAGUGUAAUCAACCUUUUUUUUUGGCUUGUUAAAGAGUUGCCGAAAAACAAAUUGGAAAAAUUUGGUUAGACUUUGGGUUCGUUUCAGUUUUGGGCCCAGCUGAUUUAUUGUCAUAAAUUUCAUUGAAAUUCAUGAGGCUCUUGGAAGAACCUCAAAAAUGUUUGUAAAAAAUAGGGCGUGGCCUAAAUGAUGUACCUGUGUGUAUGUGUGUGUGUUGCUGCGCCUACGCAAUGCCCCGAAAAGAUUUAUUUCAAUGGAACGAAGAAAUUAUAAUAUUUUCUAACUUCUAUCAUUGAAAAAGAAAUAUGUUGUAUAAAAGAAAUACAAUUCUGUGGGGCGAUUAUGAAAAGAGCUGUUGAUGUAUGAAUUGUAUGGGCCUCUCAUAAAUCUAGGGGCGCUGUCAAGGUGUCCAAUACUUUUUUUUCUGGGCCUGUCUGUGUGUCUGUCUGUGUUUGUGCCUCAAGUGGCAGUCAUAAAUUUGAGAUUUAUGUUCAUCUCGCUUUUGGAUUUUGUUGUUCUUUGGCUCUUAGUUGUUUUUUUUUUUGUCCCUUUACCAUUUUUUCGGUUUUGGUCAAGAGAACCUGCCACAAAGCACAGUUCUUUACUCGCUUGUUAAUUAAAUGCGAUUGCAUCAUCGCAUCUUUCAGCUGUCCAUCUCCAUUGUUCACAAUGGCGGUUAAGUAAAUAGGAGUAAAGCCAAAAAUAUUUGGGUAACACGGGAAUUCAUUUUUUGGCUACUUACUUUUGUUUUUUAUUAUGUUAAAAAUGGAUUUCAAAAAGGUAUUCCUUGAAGUAAGCCUUGCUAAUGUGUUGACCCAUGCUGUGGGUAUCUCUAUUCCAUUUUAUCAAGCUAUGACUGGACAGAAAUUGUCGCUAAUCGCUGCUCAUGUACCAAAAGACAUGCCGCAUUUGUCUUUGUCUUUAAUUUUUCGGCUUUGCCAGCUCUGACACAUUUUUCUUAUGAAUUUUCAGUAUUUUCCCCCGACUCACUAACUUUUCGUGGCGUGUUUGUUCUGACCGCCAAAAUUGCUUGUCCAACAUUUGUUGAACAUGUUUUUGUACUUUGUUUCGUCGUUUUUUUUUUUUUGUUUAAAAUUUUUUUUUUUUAUUUUUGGGGAACCAACAACGAACUACACGCAAGUGCUGAAGAUUUUUACGCAGAUCCGUUAAACAUCAAAAUCAACUUUUUCAAGCUCAUUAAACAACCAGGGGGAACAAAAAGAGUGAAAUAAAGCCAAAUGUUGACCUUCAAAAACGCAACGCAACCAAGCGAAAAUGGCAAAAAAAAAAAAAAAAAAAAAAAAGAUUAAAUACACAUAAUACGAAAAAUAACAAAAGUCAGAGCUGCUUGGAAACAGGUUGUUGUUUCGCUCUCUCUAUUGUUAACAUUUUAUUAUGCUUUUUUCAAGCGGAAAGCAACAAAAGCCCCCAAAACUCAUGCAAUUUUACGAUUAUUUACGAUCGAAAAACAUUUCUCUGCCGAUUUUUGACCUUGCAGUUGUUGCACUUAACACGUGCCAGAAAUCGAUAAUGAAAGAACGCGUUUUCAGGUGUUAAUCAGGUGUUCCGACUAUAAAAAAAAUCCAGUCGAAAAAAGCUAAAAUAGCCCGCUAAAAACGUAAAGCCCACAUUAAAAGGCGCCAAAAAUAUUUCGACGACGAAGCACAGAUAGCAUUUACAACAAUAAAGGUUCAUUUUACUUAAAACCACUUUCCAAAUACCCUUUUUAGUAAAAUCUUGGAGUUUUAUGAAGUGAAUAUUAGUCAAGACUACAGAUUUGCAUACAUUUAUGUACAUAUGUUAUCGCAUAUAUUACAAAACUUGCAAAAAUCUCUUAAGCUAAAAAUAUUAAAUGUUUGAAUAUUAUUUACAUACAUACUAUAUUUGUGAAGGUGUGUACAUAUGGAUGUACAUAUGCAUACAUACGAAGCUGAUAAGACUUUAAAUUCCUAAAAAACUUCGUUCUGUACCUAUUAAAAACCUUAUGUAGAAUUCCGCUAUUCACAGAACUUCUUUUCUGAUCAAAGUUAGCAUACCCUAUAAUACUCUACGUAUGUUUGAAAAAUUCUAAUCAUAAAUGGACGUUUGCCGCGAUGACGAAGAGUUUGCCUAUUGUAGAUCUUUAUUUGCCCAUGGCUUUUGUUGUGGGCACUUCAAAAGUCGUGUGCGCGUUGUUGGUUGCUGUUGUUGUAGCUGUUUAGUUUGGUUGUUGUAUAUCGCUUGUUUACUUUUACGGUAAAUACGAAAAGCAACAACACUAAGGACUACAAAAAAGCGCGCGCUCGUCGCGCGUAUCUAGAUAAAUAUCUGUGAAAAUACACUUGAGGCCAAGCUACUGUAUGUACGCACGGUGACUGCGACGCCGGCAGAGACGCCGACGGCAAUAGGCCUGCGCACAGUAGUUGCCACACAAAUAGGGCUCCAUUGAAGAGUAUCAAAAAACUAAUAAUAAAAUCCAUUCCAUUAACGAAAAGAAAACUUUACAAAUUGCACUGAUAAUAAAAAGCAACAAAAAGUUGUAACACAACUUUUGGGAAAACAGUUUUGCUGUUAUUUUGUAGUUGGAAUUAAAAAAAAUCUUAGAAAUAUAUUAAGACAUUUUUUGUGAAAUAAUUUGUAAUAUUUCUUACAAUUUACACUCAGUAUUGUACUUAGCGCCCAAUAACUUGCCCUUAGCUGUUCCUGUUUUUGUUGCUGCCUUUUCCAGCGGAGGCAACGACCAACAAUAACAACAAGUAACAGCAACAAAAACAACAAGCGAAGACGACGCCGCGCAAAAAAACAAUCGUAAACAGAUCAUCGAACUCCGUCGCUGUGUUGUUGCUCCUUUUGUUGUUGCUGUUUGUUGGCUGCCGUUGGCCUUGAAGUGGCUCAAAAAUCAUAGAUUUUUUUUCCGGUGCAUGCCUUCUUUUGGCUCAAAACCAUUUAAUUGUUUCAUUAAUUAAAAGUCGCUUUUUUCCUAUUUUUUUUAUACAGUUUUAUUGCCGUUUUGGUGAUAUUAAUUGAGUUGAAAAAGCGUGCGGCGCCCACGCAGCAAGCAGCGACGUUGACGUCGGCAGAGCUGCUUUCACCGCUGCUUGCGUCAUGUUGGGCGACAAAGCUGCAACGGCGACAAAGCCACAACCAAUAUGCAUUUGCUGGCUCUGCAAGCGUGUGUGCAUGUGUUUGUGUGUGGAUGUGUGUGUGUGCAAUGCAGCCGCUACAAGUGGGCAAUUCACCACUUGAGAAAACCACCACCGAAGCAAAGAAACCCACCACGACAGCGACGUCGACAGCAACCAACCACGAAACCGCGUGCUUUUCGGUUUUCAGUUUUCAGUUCAGUCACCAAACGAUUCUCAAAUACGAAGGACGCAAUCCGCGGAUGAUUUUAAAGCGAAGUUUUUGAAAAAUACGAAAUAUCUGGACUCUUUUUGAAAAUCAUCGAACGGAAUUUGUAUCUAAGUAUCCAUGAAAGUCAAGAGUUUUGUGGUUACUUCAAAGUUAAAAAUCCGUUACUUAUAGAAUGGAGAAAAACUGGAAUUACUUCAUCGGUCAGAUAUAGUCGCCUGAAUGUUUCAGUGUGUGUGUGGUGCACUUGUAGCGCUGCUUACGUGCACAAGUGAACGUCGACGCGUUUUCUAAUCUGGCGAUUAUCGAUUGAUAGCGAUAAGCCGCAGUCGACGUCGACGCAGGCAGCGACUGCAGCGCCAACACCAAGCCAAAGAACGCACACAUGCAGAGAAAGAUACAAAUGCACUCGAAGAAAAAGUCACUCUAUAGCUGCGCGCGACUUGAAACGAAGUUUCUGCGCGCGUUUAAAGUCGCGCGAUCGACUCCCUCGGCCGCUGUCGACGUCGCUGCCAGCCGCCGCUGACGCAGUCACUGCCUCUGCCGACGUCGACGUCAAACAUCGCCGCAUCGAGUUAUUUUCUGCGCGGCUUCGCUGCGUUUUUUUCAGUUCGGUUUCGGAGCUCCAAAGUCGCGCAUCAAUCGCUCGCAAAUCGCAUCGUGUUUUCGCAUUCGCGUGACUUGACAAAAAUUCGUAAAAACUGAGAAACAAUUUACCAAGUGAUGAACAAGAAACGGGAAAUUUUAAGUUUAAUAAAACAACCGGAUAAUACAACGCUUUGAAAAAUUAAAAUAAAUACAUUUGAAAGCAAAUAAAUUUUACAAAGUUAAAUAUAAUAAGAAUUAAACAACUUAAAAGCAUAAAUGAGAUAAUAAUAUCAAAUAAAACAUUUUUAAAAAUACCUAAACGAUUUUAAUACAACAAAGAAGAAAUGAGUAAACAUUAAAAAGCUUUUUUUGAAUGCAUAUUCAGCACAUUCAAUCCAUUUUGUGUAUCAGAACACAAAAAAGAUCAAAGUUUUCUACAUUUUCUAAGAGGAAAUCAACUUCCUAUAAAUAUCGUAUUUUAAAAGCAAAAUUUGACACUUCUGUUUAGUAGCUAAAGUAACUUAUUCUUCCCAGAAAUAUUGUACAUCCUUUUUCUCGAUGUAGGAAAACACAUUAUAAGUGCCUUACUUCCUUUUAAAAUUUCCUUUAAAAUUAAAAUAUAAAACCAAAUUAGAGAUAUAAGCAAACUUUCCGCUAAAGAUUAGCUGGCAAAAUAUACAAUCUAAAUUAUAAACAAAAAACCUAGCCAAAACUUUCCGCAGAUAUAAUUUCAACAAAUAAUAAUGGUUUAACCCGCACACACGCGCCGAUUUCCAGAUUAUUAAUAAUGAUUUGAAAAAUAUUUAAAUUCAAUCAAACAAAAAGUCUAUACAGCAAAAAAAUGCCAACCUAAACCCC